UGGGGAAUCUUCCGCAAUGGACGAAAGUCUGACGGAGCAACGCCGCGUGAACGAUGAAGGUCUUCGGAUUGUAAAGUUCUGUGAUCCGGGACGAAGGCAUCAAUUGAGAACAUUGAUUGAUGUUGACGGUACCGGAAAAGCAAGCCACGGCUAACUACGUGCCAGCAGCCGCGGUAAUACGUAGGUGGCAAGCGUUGUCCGGAAUUAUUGGGCGUAAAGCGCGCGCAGGCGGCCGUGCAAGUCCAUCUUAAAAGCGUGGGGCUUAACCCCAUGAGGGGAUGGAAACUGCAGGGCUGGAGUGUCGGAGGGGAAAGUGGAAUUCCUAGUGUAGCGGUGAAAUGCGUAGAGAUUAGGAAGAACACCGGUGGCGAAGGCGACUUUCUAGACGACAACUGACGCUGAGGCGCGAAAGCGUGGGGAGCAAACAGG
rnacentral:rRNA from 1 species